CGGUUUUCACCUUGAUCUGAGAGCUAUCUGAAUGCUAUCUGAGAUCAUCGUGAAAGCUAGU
rnacentral:pre_miRNA from 1 species